GUCAGUGGUGAAAGCCUACAGCUCAACUGUAGAACUGCCAUUGAUACUGAUAUUCUUGAGUAUGGAUGAAGUGGGCGGAAUAUGUCAUGUAGCGGUGAAAUGCAUAGAUAUGACAUGGAACACCAAUUGCGAAGGCAGCUCACUAAACCAUUACUGACGCUCAUGGACGAAAGCGUGGGGAGCGAACAGGAUUAGAUACCCUGGUAGUCCACGCCGUAAACUAUGAUCACUAGAUGUUGGCGAUACAAUGUCAGCGUUUAAGAGAAAUCGAUAAGUGAUCCACCUGGGGAGUACGUUCGCAAGAAUGAAACUCAAAGGAAUUGACGGGGGCCCGCACAAGCGGAGGAGCAUGUGGUUUAAUUCGAUGAUACGCGAGGAACCUUACCAAGGCUUAAAUGUAAUAUGACCGGUUGAGAAAUCAACCUUUUUUCGAACAGAUUACAAGGUGCUGCAUGGUUGUCGUCAGCUCGUGCCGUGAGGUGUCGGGUUAAGUCCCAUAACGAGCGCAACCCCUAUUUUUAGUUACCAGCGNGUCAUGUCGGGAACUCUAGAAAAACUGCCUGGGCAACCAGUG
rnacentral:rRNA from 1 species